rnacentral:rRNA from 1 species
GCCAGUAGUCAUAUGCUUGUCUCAAAGAUUAAGCCAUGCACGUCUAAGGAUAAAUAUUAUUUAACCAUAAACCUGCGAAAGGCUCAUUAAAUCAGUAAUAAUCUAUUCUAUUAUUUAAUCCUAUUUGGAUAACUGUAGUAAUUCUAGAGCUAAUACAUGCAAAAAACCUGGACUUUACAGAACAGGUGUACUUAUUAGACUUUAAAACCGAUUACAAUUUAUUGUAAAUUUAAAAUGAAUUAAAAUAAGUUUAUGAAUCGCAGAUCAUUUUGUGAUGAUAAGAAUGAAUUUCUGCCCUAUCAACUUUCGAUGGUAAUGUAGUGGAUUACCAUGGUGAUGACGGGUAACGGGGAAGUUAGGGUUUGAUUCCGGAGAAAAGGACCGUGAGAGACGGCCAUUACUUCUAAGGAAGGCAGC